UAGCAACUUACGACUCUGGUUGCCAUUUUGUUCGCUAGAUAAUAGGACGCUAAAAUCGAAGUGCGUUUUCUGAUGAAAAAAUACGAAUACAGAUGGACUCACGCAGUGUAUUGAAAACAUGGAAUUUUGCGUACCAUACUAUACGCUAACCGGAGAAUACAGGGCUUGCACCUCGCCACUGGUUAGGGAGGACUCCACCAGCACGAGUCCUUCACUGACGUCCACGCGGACAGAGUGCACGCCUGAAACAUCAAAAGAUGACUUUUACUUUAAAAAAAAAGCAGCUCUGACUUGGUCUCCACAGCCCUCACACGUCAUCUGCACUGCAAACUCCAGCUGAGGACAACAUGAACGUCAAACUACUUCAACCACAUGCUGCUGGCUAAACGGCUAGCUAGCUUUUAACACAUUUCCUGUAAAUAAAGGUGUGAGUGUCA